rnacentral:rRNA from 1 species
CAGUAGCCGCGGUAAUACGUAGGGGGCUAGCGUUGUCCGGAAUCAUUGGGCGUAAAGCGCGUGUAGGCGGCUUGACAAGUCUGCUGUGAAAGUCCAGGGCUCAACCCUGGAAUGCCGGUGGAAACUGUCAAGCUAGAGUCCGGAAGGGGAGUGUGGAAUUCCUGGUGUAGCGGUGAAAUGCGCAGAUAUCAGGAGGAACACCAAUGGCGAAGGCAGCACUCUGGGACGUGACUGACGCUGAGACGCGAAAGCGUGGGGAGCAAACAGGAUUAGAUACCCGCGUAGUCCCUGUCUCUUAUAA